rfam:Sphaerobolus stellatus SS14 unplaced genomic scaffold SPHSTscaffold_141, whole genome shotgun sequence.
GCCUUGCUAGCUCAAUCGGUAGAGCGUGAGACUCUUACAGCUGUGGUGUUAUCGCCUAAGUUGUAAUCUCAAGGUUGCGGGUUCGACCCCCGCGUGGGGCU